CCGCCAGCUGAUCGGAGCCUGGAGCCGGUGUGUGCUGGGCGCCGUGAAGAGACAGCGCCGCCGGCCGUGGGGAGAGGACGCAGUGAUUUGCUCCCCUCUGCGCAGCAACCCCCACACCCAGCACCAGGCCCCCAGAACUCUCCUUCCAGCUGAACUCCCUGGGAACAAGUCAUUUGGGCUGAUGACUGAACUCAUAUUUCUGGACCUGAGGAGCCUGUUCCUCUCACACCCUCACCUGGCUGAGCCGCAGUAG
rnacentral:lncRNA from 1 species